rnacentral:rRNA from 1 species
AACGAACGCUGGCGGCAUGCCUAACACAUGCAAGUCGAACGAGACCUUCGGGUCUCGUGGCGCACGGGUGCUUAACGCGUGGGAACCUGCCCUUAGGUUCGGAAUAACUCCCCGAAAGGGGUGCUAAUACCGGAUAAUGUCUUCGGACCAACGAUUUAUCGCCUUUGGAUGGGCCCGCGUUGGAUUAGCUAGUUGGUAGGGUAAAAGCCUACCAAGGCGACGAUCCAUAGCUGGUCUGAGAGGAUGAUCAGCCACACUGGGACUGAGACACGGCCCAGACUCCUACGGGAGGCAGCAGUGGGGAAUAUUGGACAAUGGGCGAAAGGCUGAUCCAGCAAUGCCGCGUGAGUGAUGAAGGCCUUAGGGUUGUAAAGCUCUUUUACCCGGGAUGAUAAUGACAGUACCGGGAGAAUAAGCGCCGGCUAACUCCGUG